rnacentral:rRNA from 1 species
UACGUAGGGUCCGAGCGUUGUCCGGAAUUAUUGGGCGUAAAGGGCUCGUAGGCGGUUCGUCACGUCGGGAGUGAAAACUCGGGGCUUAACCCCGAGCCUGCUUCCGAUACGGGCAGACUAGAGGUAGGCAGGGGAGAGCGGAACUCCUGGUGUAGCGGUGGAAUGCGCAGAUAUCAGGAAGAACACCGGUGGCGAAGGCGGCUCUCUGGGCCGAUAUUGACGCUGAGGAGCGAAAGCGUGGGGAGCAAACAGG